rnacentral:snRNA from 1 species
AAAUUGACCCAAAAUAUGAGAUAACAUGAUCACAAAGGUGGUUUUCCCAGGGUUAGGCCUAUUCAUUUCACUCCAGAUGUGCUGACCCCUGCAAUUACCUCAAAUGUAGGAAAUUCGACUGCAUAAUUUGUGGUAGUGGGGGACUACAUUCACACUUUCCCCUG